AGUGAACGCUGGCGGUAGGCCUAACACAUGCAAGUCGAACGGCAGCACAAGAGAGCUUGCUCUCUGGGUGGCGAGUGGCGGACGGGUGAGGAAUACAUCGGAAUCUACUCUGUCGUGGGGGAUAACGUAGGGAAACUUACGCUAAUACCGCAUACGACCUACGGGUGAAAGCAGGGGACCUUCGGGCCUUGCGCGAUUGAAUGAGCCGAUGUCGGAUUAGCUAGCGUAGUUGGCGGGGCAAAGGCCCACCAAGGCGACGAUCCGUAGCUGGUCUGAGAGGAUGAUCAGCCAAACUGGAACUGAGACACGGUCCAGACUCCUACGGGAGGCAGCAGUGGGGAAUAUAGGACAAUGGGCGCAAGCCUGAUCCAGCCAUACCGCGUGGGUGAAGAAGGCCUUCGGGUUGUAAAGCCCUUUUGUUGGGAAAGAAAUCCAGCUGGCUAAUACCCGGUUGGGAUGACGGUACCCAAAGAAUAAGCACCGGCUAACUUCGUGCCAGCCGCCGCCGUAA
rnacentral:rRNA from 1 species